rnacentral:rRNA from 1 species
UCUUCCUACGGGGGGCAGCAGUGGGGAAUAUUGCACAAUGGGGGAAACCCUGAUGCAGCGACGCCGCGUGAGUGAAGAAGUAUUUCGGUAUGUAAAGCUCUAUCAGCAGGGAAGAUAAUGACGGUACCUGAGUAAGAAGCCCCGGCUAACUACGUGCCAGCAGCCGCGGUAAUACGUAGGGGGCAAGCGUUAUCCGGAUUUACUGGGUGUAAAGGGGGCGCAGACGGCGAUGCAAGCCAGGAGUGAAAGCCCGGGGCCCAACCCCGGGACUGCUCUUGGAACUGCGUGGCUGGAGUGCAGGCGGG